rnacentral:lncRNA from 1 species
AAAAUAGCAAGGUUAAAGUACUUGACAAUCAAGAAAACUUGCCAUCAAGGAAUAAGUACUAAACGAUUUUAUUAAUUUGUAAAUGGCUCCUCAUUAGGAGGAUUGAAUAUAACCUUCUUGCUAAAGCAAUCUAUGGUGGAGUGAUACGUCGCUAGCCAAUCCUUCCCUAAAAUUACAUCAAAAUUCCCCGUGUCUAAUCCUAUUAGGUCUACACUUAAUUUCCUAUUUGCUAUCUCUACAGCAUAAGCCCUGUAGACAACUUCUCCCAAUAGUGUUUCACCCCCAGCAGUAGACACAAAUAACAUUGAAUCAAGUUUAUCAGGUAAUACAUUAAAUUUGGAU